GAUGAAGAACGCAGCGAAAUGCGAUACGUAAUGUGAAUUGCAGAAUUCAGUGAAUCAUCGAGUCUUUGAACGCACAUUGCGCCCCCUGGUAUUCCGGGGGGCAUGCCUGUCCGAGCGUCAUUGCUGCCUUCAAGCACGGCUUGUGUGUUGGGCCUCCGUCCUCCUCCCAGGGGACGGGCCCGAAAGGCAGCGGCGGCACCGCGUCCGGUCCUCGAGCGUAUGGGGCUUCGUCACCCGCUCUUGUAGGCCCGGCCGGCGCUUGCCGACACAUCAAUCUUUUUUCCAGGUUGACCUCGGAUCAGGUAGGGAUACCCGCUGAACUUAAGCAUAUCAAUAAGCGGAGGA
rnacentral:misc_RNA from 1 species